rnacentral:rRNA from 1 species
UACGUAGGGGGCAAGCGUUGUCCGGAAUCAUUGGGCGUAAAGAGCGUGUAGGCGGCCAGAUAAGUCCGCUGUGAAAACUCGAGGCUCAACUUCGAGCUGUCGGUGGAAACUAUUUGGCUAGAGUCCGGAAGAGGAGAGGUGGAAUUCCUGGUGUAGCGGUGAAAUGCGCAGAUAUCAGGAGGAACACCGGUGGCGAAGGCGGGUCUCUGGGCCGAUACUGACGCUGAGGAGCGAAAGCGUGGGGAGCGAACAGG